UACGGAGGGAGCUAGCGUUGUUCGGAAUUACUGGGCGUAAAGAGCGCGCAGGCGGUCGUUCAAGUCGAGUGUGAAAGCCCCCGGCUCAACUGGGGAGGGUCACUCGAUACUGAUCGACUCGAAGGCAGAAGAGGGAAGCGGAAUUCCCGGUGUAGUGGUGAAAUGCGUAGAUAUCGGGAGGAACACCAGUGGCGAAGGCGGCUUUCUGGUCUGCUCUUGACGCUGAGGCGCGAAAGCUAGGGUAGCAAACGGG
rnacentral:rRNA from 1 species